rnacentral:rRNA from 1 species
CUAUCAGCUUGUUGGUGAGGUAAUGGCUCACCAAGGCAAUGACGGGUAGCGGGACUGAGAGGUUGACCCGCAACAUCGGGACUGAGACACUGCCCAGACUCCUACGGGAGGCUGCAGUCGAGGAUCAUUCGCAAUGCGCGAAAGCGUGACGAUGCGACGCUGCGUGGAGGAUGACGGCUUUCGGGUUGUAAACUCCUGUCAUGAGGGAAAAGUUCCCCGGGUGUAAAUAGCAUCUGGGAUCGAUGGUACCUCAAGAGGAAGCCACGGCUAACUCUGUGCCAGCAGCCGCGGUAAUACAGAGGUGGCGAGCGUUGUUCGGAUUUACUGGGCGUAAAGCGUGCGUAGGCGGCUCCGUAUGUCAGAUGUGAAAGCCCACGGCUCACCCGUGGAACUGCAUUUGAAACUGCGGUGCUGGAGUGCAGGAGAGGAGAGCGGAACUCUUGGUGUAGCGGUGAAAUGCGUUGAUAUCAAGAAGAACACCGGUGGCGAAGGCGGCUCUCUGGAAUGCUACUGACGCUGAGGCACGAAAGCUGGGGGAGCAAACAGGAUUAGAUACCCUGGUAGUCCCAGCCGUAAACUGUGUGCAC